UUAUUUCUGAUUCUUUGGGUGAAACUCUUUUCCAUGGCCCUCCAUAUGUCCAUAAGGGUCUACAUACAAAAAAUCAGCUCUUUAUUUGAGCUAGAAGUGCUUCAAUUGAUCAAUGGAAUCGGGAAUCAGACAGUUUGGGAAAAGUCAACUGUGGGGCCAGAAAAGUCAACUCCUGACAUUUUGAGAGUGGAAUCUCAAAAUCCAUGCCUAGGGGAUCCUACAUGUGAAAUUUGAUCAAGGUUGGAUCAUGGAUUCAU
rnacentral:lncRNA from 1 species